UGAGGUUGUGAUUUUGAUGGGAUUCUGUUUCGAUGAACUAGUUUUGUUUAUUUGCUUCAGUUUUUUCCAAUUUUGUUUUGGACAUUUAACCAGUGCUGGAUAUGGCUCAAGAAGCUAUUGUCAUGGUUCUCUAGCCUCUUUUGAGGAUAGUGGAGUAAUUGAGCAAUUUGGUCCCGAGCCAAAUUGCUUGAUGGGCAAUGACAGUAGCUCUUUGGUGGUUAUUUCUUUGCCUGGUUUUAUAUCUCAUUUUAUGAUGAGCUUUAGUCGGUAAACUACUGAACUUGUUUCAACUUUGUGAAUUUUGAGCAGCUUUUCUUCGUAUUCCCGUUCCCUUCUCACAUUUCGUUUCGCAACACGUCACUUUUGGCUGUUCUCCUCAAUCUUAUUUAAUAGUAGGGCCUUCGUGUUGUCUGUCUUUUGUUAGCAGCAGCUUAUUUAUCUUAGUGUUGCUGAUAUAGUAUUAAGAUUGUGUGCUAAUUAUGAUUCUCCUAAUGUAGAUCCAACUUUGUUGAACUUCCAGGUUUUGUUACCUUUGUCAAUGGAAGUAGUUGUUCGCCCAACUGUUGCUGGG
rnacentral:lncRNA from 1 species